AUGACUGGGGAUGCUCGUCUGCAAUUGAUCAACUCUGUACUCUCUUCAAUCCCCGUCUACCUGAUUACUAUUUUCAAACUGGGGGCAUGGGCCAUCAAGCAAAUUGACAAACUCCGAAGGAACUUCCUCUGGAGAUCGAAGCCCGACGCCGAGGGAGGACUUGCUUUGGUGAACUGGUCCACCGUCUGCCGCCCUAAGAGCCUGGGUGGACUCGGCGUCAUUGACCUUAAGCGCUUCGGCAGGGCCUUGCGCCUGUGA
rnacentral:rRNA from 1 species